AGUGAACGCUGGCGGUAGGCCUAACACAUGCAAGUCGAACGGCAGCACAGUAAGAGCUUGCUCUUACGGGUGGCGAGUGGCGGACGGGUGAGGAAUACAUCGGAAUCUACUUUUUCGUGGGGGAUAACGUAGGGAAACUUACGCUAAUACCGCAUACGACCUACGGGUGAAAGCAGGGGAUCUUCGGACCUUGCGCGAUUGAAUGAGCCGAUGUCGGAUUAGCUAGUUGGCGGGGUAAAGGCCCACCAAGGCGACGAUCCGUAGCUGGUCUGAGAGGAUGAUCAGCCACACUGGAACUGAGACACGGUCCAGACUCCUACGGGAUGCAGCAGUGGGGAAUAUUGGACAAUGGGCGCAAGCCUGAUCCAGCCAUACCGCGUGGGUGAAGAAGGCCUUCGUGUUUUAAAGCCCUUUUGUUGGGAAAGAAAAGCAGCAGGUUAAUACCCCGCUGUUCUGACGGUACCCAAAGAAUAAGCACCGGCUAACUUCGUG
rnacentral:rRNA from 1 species